UCAGAUGAGGAGCACUGGCUGGUAAAUGAAGAAGGAGAAGGAGCAACUGAAGAGGCAGUAGACAAUCCAAACGGAUCUAGUAUCAUGGAAACCAAGUCAGUGGAGGAUCUACUGGAGUGGCAUGGUCAGCUUUGUUGUGCUUUGAUAAGAGGGUCAACUCAGAUUCUCCAAGAAGCAGGCACCAAGACAGAAUUAGAUGUGAAAGAAAUACACUCAGAGAAAUGCUCUUGAAGGAUAAAGACGCCAAGGAGCAAGAGGAACUGUAAAAACCUCCAGAAUGAAAUUGUCUGAGUUUUGACAAUUAUAAUAUUUUAUUUCUGAUUAAUCAGAAAAUAGUUUGCCAUAAAAAUUUAUCACUUCUGAUAUUAGCACAUAAAUUUGUUUUUAUUGUAAUUUCAAAACUAAUGUCAAGACUGAGCAAAUCAUAAGAUGGAAGCACCUGUGAGUGCCUGGGACCCUCAAGAUCAUCAAAUCCAGCUUUCCCUGCAGAGAUGGUCUUUCAACUUUUGCCUGAACAUCAUCCUUGUGAGGGAAAUCGUUUCAUCACAAAGCAAUCCAGUUUACUACUGGAACACUGCAAUUAUUUGAAGAUUUUUGGCAUCACAUGUCACAACAUUGCUUCAUAUGAAUUGGUACUUAAAAGAAAACUCGACGCCAUAGAACUACAAAAUUAAAUCCAGGAAGAACCUCAGAGACGAUCUUCUUCCAACAUCCUCUUUCUCAGAUAAGGAAAUUAAGGUUUUAAAAGAUCUUGUGCCAAAAGUCACACAGUUGACUUGUGGCAGUUAAGAUUAAAUUUUAAAAUUCCGCAAAACAUCUGGAUCUACUGGAUAACACUGCUCACCAACACUGGUCAUCUUUGUCUUUACCCAAGGCAAGUAUGCCACCUUAUAAAGGACUUUGCACUGGACAUGAUGGUUUACACCCUACUCGAGAGGCUGAAGUGGGAAGAUCAUUUGAGCCCAGGGGUUCAAGACUGCAGUAAGCUAUACUCAUUCCACUGCACUCCAGCCGGGGUGACAGAGUGAGAUCCCCAA
rnacentral:lncRNA from 10 species